AAACGCUGAAAGCAUCUAAGUGUGAAACUCACCUCGAGAUUAGAUUUCCCAUUGCCUUCGGGCAAGUAAGACCCCUGAAAGAUGAUCAGGUAGAUAGGCUAGAAGUGGAAGUGUAGUGAUACAUGGAGCGGACUAGUACUAAUCGGUCGAGGACUUAACCAA
rnacentral:rRNA from 1 species